rnacentral:rRNA from 1 species
GACGAACGCUGGCGGCGUGCUUAACACAUGCAAGUCGAACGGAAAGGCCCUGCUUUUGUGGUGUGCUCGGGUGGCGAACGGGUGAGUAACACGUGAGUAACCUGCCCUUGACUUUGGGGUAACUUCAGGUAACUGGGCCUAAUCCCGGAUAGGAGCUCCUGCUGCAUGGUGGGGGUUGGAACGUUUCGGCGGUUGGGGAUGGACGCGCGGCUUAUGGGCUUGUUGGUGGGGUAGUGGCUUACCAAGGCUUUGACGGAUAGCCGGCCCGUGAGCGUGACCGGCCACAAGGGGACUGAGAUACGGAGCAGACUGGUACGGGAGGCAGCAGGGGGGAACAUGACACAAUGGGCGGAAGUCUGAGGCAGCAACGUCGGGGUUGUGAAGACGGCCUGCGGGGUGUAAACCGCUGUCGCCUGUGACGAAGCGUGAGUGACGGUACUGGGUAAAUAAGCACCGGCUAACUACGUG